UGUUGGAAUUCGGCGCGAAUUAUGGAAUUCGGUGCGAAUUUGAUUUAUGAUGGUUUCAGGCUAGGUAAAAAUUUGAAAUGGGUGAGAACUCGAUUUAGAGCAUAUUUGAAGGAACUGAAUGUUGGAAUUGUGUGCGAACUCGAUUUAGAACAUUUUUUAAGGAACUGAAAGUUGGAAAUAGGUGCGAACUCGAUUUAGAGCAUGUACAAAGGAACUAAAAGUUGGAAAUGGGUGCGAGCUCGAUUUGUAGCAUGUACAGAGAAACUGAAAGUUGGAAAUAGGGACGAACUCGAUUUAGAGCAUUUUCAAAGGAACUGAAAGUUGGAAAUGGGUGCGAACUCGAUUUAUAGCAUGUGCAAAGGAACUGAAAGUUGAAAUUGUGUGCAAACUCAAUUUAGAGCAUUUUGAAAAAAACUGAAAGUUGGAAAUUGGUAUGAACUCGAUUUAGAGCAUGUACAAAGAA